rnacentral:rRNA from 1 species
GUAGUCAUAUGCUUGUCUCAAAGAUUAAGCCAUGCAUGUCUAAGUAUAAACAACUUUAUACUGUAAAACUGCGAACGGCUCAUUAUAUCAGCAAUAAUUUAUUUGAUGAUUUCUUACUACAUGGAUAACUGUAGUAAUUCUAGAGCUAAUACAUGCGCAAAGUCCUAACUCGCGAGGGGAGGGAUGUAUUUAUUAGAUACAAAACCAAUGCGGGUUCUGCUCGCCAUUGUGUUGAAUCAUAGUAACUUAUCGGACGCCAUAGCCUUGUGCUGGGCGUAGAUCAUUCAAAUUUCUGCCCUAUCAGCUUUCGACGGUAGUGUAGUGGACUACCGUGGCGUUAACGGGUAACGGGGAAUA